GAUCUCGAAUCGGGUGGGACUACCCGCUGAACUUAAGCAUAUCAAUAAGCGGAGGAAAAGAAACUAACAAGGAUUCCCCUAGUAACGGCGAGUGAAGCGGGAAGAGCUCAAAUUUGAAAUCUGGCGUCUUUGGCGUCCGAGUUGUAGUCUAGAGAGGCGUCAUCCGCGGCGGACCACGUACAAGUCCUUUGGGAUAUGGUGUCAUGGAGGGUGAGAACCCCGUACGUGACGUGGACUACCGUUGCUUUGCGUUGCGCCUUCGAAGAGUCGAGUUGUUUGGGAAUGCAGCUCAAAACGGGUGGUAAAUUCCAUCUAAAGCUAAAUACAGGCGAGAGACCGAUAGCGAACAAGUACCGUGAGGGAAAGAUGAAAAGAACUUUGGGAAAGAGAGUUAAACAGUACGUGAAAUUGCUGAAANGGAAACGCUUGGAGUCAGUCGCGUCCGUGCAGGCUCAGCCCGGCUUUUGUNGGGUGUACUUCUGUGCGGACGGGCCAGCAUCANUUUCNGGCGGCGAAAAAGGGGANUGGGGAAAGUGGCACCCUCGGGUGGGUUAUAGCNUGCUNUCGGGAGCGUC
rnacentral:rRNA from 1 species